GACGAACGCUGGCGGCGUGCUUAACACAUGCAAGUUGAGCGACGGUCUUAUGAAGUAGUGAUACGGAAUGAGAUACGGAGCAGCGGACGGGUGAGUACAACAUGAGAAUCUAUCCCAUAACGGGGGACAACGUUUGGAAACGGACGCUAAUACCCCAUAGGCCGCGAGGUUAAAGCAGCGAUGCGAUAUGGGAGGGGCUCGUGUCCUAUCAGCUGGUUGGUGGGGUAACGGCCUACCAAGGCGACGACGGGUAGCCGGCCUGAGAGGGUGAACGGCCACACUGGAACUGAGAUACGGUCCAGACUCCUACGGGAGGCAGCAGUGGGGAAUAUUGGGCAAUGGGAGGAAUCCUGACCCAGCGACGCCGCGUGAACGAAGAAGGCCUUUGGGUCGUAAAGUUCUUUUGUACGGGAAGAAGGAAGUGACGGUACCGUACGAAUAAGCCCCGGCUAACUACGUGCCAGCCGCCGCCGUAAAAC
rnacentral:rRNA from 1 species